GAUGAACGCUGGCGGCGUGCUUAACACAUGCAAGUCGAACGGAAAGGCUCCUGCCUGCAGGGGUACUCGAGUGGCGAACGGGUGAGUAACACGUGGGUGAUCUGCCCUGUACUUCGGGAUAAGCUUGGGAAACUGGGUCUAAUACCGGAUAUGACAAUCUCUUGGAUGGGGUUGUGGAAAGCUUUUGCGGUAUGGGAUGAGCUCGCGUCCUAUCAGCUUGUUGGUGGGGUAAUGGCCUACCAAGGCGUCGACGGGUAGCCGGCCUGAGAGGGUGUACGGCCACAUUGGGACUGAGAUACGGCCCAGACUCCUACGGGAGGCAGCAGUGGGGAAUAUUGCACAAUGGGCGCAAGCCUGAUGCAGCGACGCCGCGUGGGGGAUGACGGCCUUCGGGUUGUAAACUCCUUUCGCAACCGACGAAGCUUUUGUGACGGUAGGUUGAGAAGAAGCACCGGCUAACUACGUG
rnacentral:rRNA from 1 species